rnacentral:rRNA from 1 species
CGGCGACCGGCGAAUGGGUGAGUAACACGUAUGCAACUUACCUCUUAGUGGUGAAUAACUCGAUGAAAGUCGGACUAAUACACCAUACUCUCCUUAGCUCACAUGAGCAGAGGAGGAAAGAUUAAUCGCUAAGAGAUAGGCCUGCGUUCCAUUAGCUAGUUGGUAAGGUGACGGCUUACCAAGGCAACGAUGGAUAGGGGGACUGAGAGGUUGACCCCCCACAUUGGUACUGAGACACGGACCAAACUCC